rnacentral:RNase_P_RNA from 1 species
CACGCAGGCCGCCUUAUCGCCGUCCGCAAGGAGGGAGGAAAGUCCGGACACCAUAGGGCAGCAUAGCGGGUAACACCCGUCAUUCCGGUUUGCAGAGCCGGGAGAGGACAAGUGCAACAGAAAGUAUGUACAGGUAAUGCUGUAGUGAAACCAGGUAAACUCUAUGCGGUGAAAUGCCAUGUACACCGGCAAUUAAGGGCUGCCCGCCCAAUGCCGGGGGGUAGGCAGAUUGAUCCCCGCAGUAAUGUGGGGUCUAGAUAAAUGAUAAGGAUUCCGAGGGAAUACAGAAUCCGGCUUACAGGCCUGCUUUUUUU